rnacentral:rRNA from 1 species
UACGGAGGAUCCAAGCGUUAUCCGGAUUUAUUGGGUUUAAAGGGUGCGUAGGCGGUUUAUUAAGUCAGUGGUGAAAGACGGUCGCUCAACGAUUGCAGUGCCAUUGAUACUGGUAGACUUGAGUGAGAUUGAGGUAGCUGGAAUGGAUAGUGUAGCGGUGAAAUGCAUAGAUAUUAUCCAGAACACCAAUUGCGUAGGCAAGUUACUAAGUCUCAACUGACGCUGAGGCACGAAAGUGCGGGUAUCAAACAGG